rnacentral:misc_RNA from 1 species
AACUUUUAACAACGGAUCACUUGGCUCUCGCAUCGAUGAAGAACGCAGCGAAAUGCGAUAUGUACUGUGAAUUGCAGAAUUCAGUGAAUCAUCGAAUCUUUGAAUGCACCUUGCGCUCCUUGGUAUUCUGAGGAGCAUGCCUGUUCGAGUGUCAUCAAAUUCUCAACUGCUUUAGCCUUUGUGGGUGUAGUAAAGUUGGAUUUGGAGGAAUAAUUGCUGGCGUAACCUUUUAAGGUUGUGUGUUAGGUCCGCUUAAAGGGAUUAGCUAUCCAGGAGUGUAAAAGUAAUACCAAUUUGGUAAUUAUCAACGUUGUUGGAACUUGUACAAGGGAAGAUGGAGCUGUCUUGGACCCCCUUGACGAAACAAAUGACAAAAUUGACCUGGAAUCAGGUAGGACUACCCGCUGAAAUUAAGCAUAUCAAUAAGCGGAGGCA